rnacentral:rRNA from 1 species
UACGUAGGGUGCGAGCGUUAAUCGGAAUUACUGGGCGUAAAGCGUGCGCAGGCGGUUUUGUAAGCCAGAUGUGAAAGCCCCGGGCUUAACCUGGGAAUGGCAUUUGGGACUGCAAGGCUUGAGUGCGGCAGAGGAGACUGGAAUUCCUGGUGUAGCAGUGAAAUGCGUAGAUAUCGGGAGGAAUACCGAUGGCGAAGGCAGGUCUCUGGGCUAUAACUGACGCUCAUGCACGAAAGCGUGGGGAGCAAACAGG